GCCCUGCUAGCUCAGUGGUAGAGCGUAUCUCUCCUACCAUGCCUGAUCACCCGCCGACAUACGCUUGUGGGGGUAGGAUCAAGAUGAAGUCGUGGGUUCGACCCCCACGUGGGGCU